UUAGACGUUUCGAGAAGCUACACAUGCAGCCGAGCGGUAGAGAUUCUUCGGAAUCUUGAGAGCGGCGCACGGGUGCGGAACACGUGUGCAACCUGCCUUUAUCAGGGGAAUAGCCUUUCGAAAGGAAGAUUAAUGCCCCAUAAUAUAUUAAAUGGCAUCAUUUGAUAUUGAAAACUCCGGUGGAUAAAGAUGGGCACGCGCAGGAUUAGAUAGUUGGUAGGGUAACGGCCUACCAAGUCAACGAUCCUUAGGGGGCCUGAGAGGGUGAUCCCCCACACUGGUACUGAGACACGGACCAGACUCCUACGGGAGGCAGCAGUGAGGAAUAUUGGACAAUGGGUGAGAGCCUGAUCCAGCCAUCCCGCGUGAAGGACGACGGCCCUAUGGGUUGUAAACUUCUUUUGUACAGGGAUAAACCUUUCCACGUGUGGGAAGCUGAAGGUACUGUACGAAUAAGCACCGGCUAACUCCGUGCCAGCAGCCGCGGUAAUACGGAGGGUGCAAGCGUUAUCCGGAUUUAUUGGGUUUAAAGGGUCCGUAGGCGGACUCGUAAGUCAGUGGUGAAAUCUCACAGCUUAACUGUGAAACUGCCAUUGAUACUGCGGGUCUUGAGUGUUGUUGAAGUAGCUGGAAUAAGUAGUGUAGCGGUGAAAUGCAUAGAUAUUACUUAGAACACCAAUUGCGAAGGCAGGUUACUAAGCAACAACUGACGCUGAUGGACGAAAGCGUGGGGAGCGAACAGGAUUAGAUACCCUGGUAGUCCACGCCGUAAACGAUGCUAACUCGUUUUUGGUUUUUCGGAAUCAGAGACUAAGCGAAAGUGAUAAGUUAGCCACCUGGGGAGUACGUUCGCAAGAAUGAAACUCAAAGGAAUUGACGGGGGCCCGCACAAGCGGUGGAUUAUGUGGUUUAAUUCGAUGAUACGCGAGGAACCUUACCAAGGCUUAAAUGGGAAUUGAUGGGUUUAGAAAUAGACCGUCCUUCGGGCAAUUUUCAAGGUGCUGCAUGGUUGUCGUCAGCUCGUGCCGUGAGGUGUUAGGUUAAGUCCUGCACGAGCGCAACCCCUGUCACUAGUUGCCAUCAUUCAGUUGGGGACUCCUAGUGAGAACUGCCUACGCAAGUA
rnacentral:rRNA from 1 species